rnacentral:tRNA from 1 species
GGGCUCAGUUGGUAGAGCACGAGACUCUUAAUCUCAGGGUCGGGGGUUUGAGCCCCACGCU